AGUGCACGCUGGCGGCGUGCUUAACACAUGCAAGUCGAACGAGAACGGGAUAUAGCUUGCUAUAUUUGUCAGCUAAGUGGCGCACGGGUGAGUAAUGUAUAGAUAACCCGCCCUCUAGAAAGGAAUAACAGUUGGAAACGACUGCUAAUGCCCUAUAUGCCUUUAAUACAUAAGUAUGCAAGGGAAACGCUUUAGUGCUAGAGGAUGGGUCUGUAUGGUAUCAGCUUGUUGGUGAGGUAAUGGCUCACCAAGGCUAUGACGCCUAACUGGUUUGAGAGGAUGAUCAGUCACACUGGAACUGAGAAACGGCCCAGACUCCUACGGGAGGCAGCAGUGGGGAAUAUUGCACAAUGGACGAAAGUCUGAUGCAGCAACGCCGCGUUGAGGAUGACACAUUUCGGUGCGUAAACUCCUUUUAUAUAGGAAGAUAAUGACGGUACUAUAUGAAUAAGCACCGGCUAACUCCGUGCCAGCCGCCGCAGUAA
rnacentral:rRNA from 1 species